UGUACACUUGUGCACUUCAAAAAUUCAUUGUAUACUGCACCUUCUUGCACAUCUCCGUUUCCUGUGUGUGUGUUAUUAUAAAUCAAACUGUAACUGUAGGAAAAAAUAUGCCAAAAGCACAUUUGUAAUUACUUAUGAACUUUUUCUACUUAUUUCUUUAGACCAAAUCCCCUGUACACAUAUAGUGACUCAGAGGAUGAGCAGCCCACAAAAAAACGGUUUCCCCAGGCACCUCGAGUGAAAAUACCAGCCCUCACCACUCCGCAGUCUUCCCCCCAGCCCACUGACAGCAGGCAUCAUAAUGCCCCUCCCAGCUUCCGGCACCUUUCGCCACUCCGGCAGAACACUCCAAACGACACAGCUUUGCAAUCUCCCCAGCAUGCAGAGUCUGAUGUCGAGGCCUUCCCUAUAGAUGAUUCCAGAGACUCUGUGAGGCCACUAU